rnacentral:lncRNA from 1 species
UAUAACCAAACCCAGCCAGGCACCCUUCACGCCCCCCUCGGCCUGCUCAGCUUCCUCGAUCUCCCCUCCCAGGUCCCAGCCCCACACUGUGCUCCUGGCGCAUGAUUUCCUGGCGGGCAAGGUGGUGCUCACACUGCGGGGCUCUCCGGGUUUGCUCCCUGUGAGUGUGCCCGGGAAAGAAGCUGGAAAGCCAGGCUCCGCCUCCGGAAGAGCAUGGAGCACUGGGUAAUAACUCACCCGGAUGUCCAUCGGGUGUCUGUGAGGAGCAUCCCAGCCACUGGUCCCUGGCAUCUGAGGGUACAUUAUCCUUGCCUUCUGUUCACUCAUUCUGUGACCGUGUGGGGCUCGGAGACAGUAAGAAGGCCACUAGAAACCACACAGCUCUAAAGAGCAGCGAGGCUGGAACCUGGGCCCACAAACCCACGUCGCUGCUCCCCCUUCCCCAGGCCAGAGCGACCUGCUGGGUUUCCAGCAACACAGACUGCGCCAGCCGGGAGCUAUACCCCCAGAACUUCCUCCUGCCACCGCCGUGCGCAGGCGCGCCCUUUCCCGACAGACGUGAAAUGUGA